ACUUAAAUUGAAGAGUUUGAUCAUGGCUCAGAUUGAACGCUGGCGGCAGGCCUAACACAUGCAAGUCGAACGGUAGCACAGAGAGCUUGCUCUCGGGUGACGAGUGGCGGACGGGUGAGUAAUGUCUGGGAAACUGCCUGAUGGAGGGGGAUAACUACUGGAAACGGUGGCUAAUACCGCAUAACGUCGCAAGACCAAAGAGGGGGACCUUCGGGCCUCUUGCCAUCAGAUGUGCCCAGAUGGGAUUAGCUGGUUGGUGAGGUAACGGCUCACCAAGGCGACGAUCCCUAGCUGGUCUGAGAGGAUGACCAGCCACACUGGAACUGAGACACGGUCCAGACUCCUACGGGAGGCAGCAGUGGGGAAUAUUGCACAAUGGGCGCAAGCCUGAUGCAGCCAUGCCGCGUGU
rnacentral:rRNA from 1 species